UGCCCCAUGGCUGAGUUGGUUACAGCGUCCGACUGUUAUGUUCUGACAAUCGGAAGGUCGAGAGUUCGAGCCUCUCUGGGGCAG